UACGAAGGGUGCAAGCGUUACUCGGAAUUACUGGGCGUAAAGCGUGCGUGGGUGGUUUGUUAAGUCUGAUGUGAAAGCCCUGGGCUCAACCUGGGAAUUGCAUUGGAUACUGGCAGGCUAGAGUGCGGUAGAGGGUAGUGGAAUUCCCGGUGUAGCAGUGAAAUGCGUAGAGAUCGGGAGGAACACCAGUGGCGAAGGCGACUACCUGGACCAGCACUGACACUGAGGCACGAAAGCGUGGGGAGCAAACAGG
rnacentral:rRNA from 1 species